CAGCAGGCACAAACUCGUGGAGGGUCUCCGGCUGCUCUGCGAUGCUCCGGGGAUGAGGAGAAGCCAAAAAAACCCGGGAUUCAGCUGCCUGAUUUACUCAGCUCAUUCCCUCGGAGAUGCUGACGCGGUCCUCGGCCGACAAACGCCGUCUUUUUCCUUCUGCCAUCACUUCUUCGAGGAUUAUGCGUUUAUAGGAGUGAAAGCGUGUGAUGGAGACCACCAAAAAGGUAAAAUCAUGCUCCUGACACCAGUCGAUAAGGAGGUGGGAGUUUGCUUGCCAUAAAUCCGUGAGCUCUGCUUGCCAGAUUAGAGUUGGCCGGACAAAUUUGGCACUGACCGCAUUAUAUAAUUAGAAAAAAAUACUUUU